CCCCCCCCCCCCCCCAAAAGAAAAGAGAACGGGUCCAUCCAAUUCUAAUGGCACGUCAUGAUCUGAGGGGCUUUAGGCUCAUCCGUGAGCUGCAGCUCCAUGAAGACCGAUUGGAGGUGUACACCAGGCUGAGCAAGUUGCUGCUGUGCCUUCUUUCCAAGCGACAUCUGGUGACACGCAAAACAUUUCAACGCUCUUCCACAAGAUGGCAGAAGGUCAAAUUAACCAGGCCGGGAUUUGACGUCACCUGAAGACCUCCAUCCCCCAUCCGGCCACAGCGGUGAACAGUCUAGGUCCGAGGUCCCUGGCAGGAUUCAAGGGGUAUCCACAGUUCAGGCCCAUAGACACCCCGAUGGCCAUGAUGAUCAGCCCGAUGGCCAGU